CAGUACUUAAUAAUCUGCAGACAUAAAAUCACCAGGAGAUACCAUAUUUAAUAUGGAAUUUAUCAAUACAAAAAUGUUUGACUGAAAGUUUUCAGGUUUCCUGAACAAGUUGUUUUCCUCUUUUUAUACUUUUCCUACUUUUAUAAUUUUAUAUUUUUCUCUACUUUAGCAACUCUAUUUCUUUAGAUUCUUUGUAUUACUUGAUAAAUGUUUGCUAACACUUUUUGAUUCAACUUUGCUUUUUAAUUGUGAAAUGCUGGUAGAUAGAGAGACAUAUAUAUAUAUACACAAAGAUAACUCAGAUUAAUAAAAUGAAUCUAUCUUGCAAAACAGCUGAAUAGCCAGACUCACAAUCAUUAGUAGCAACCUUUUGCCUUUAUAUCUUCUUUCACUUCUUUCACCUUUUGCCUUUUAUCUUCUUUCACUCCUAAAAAAGGAUCCAUUAUAUAUACCAUGGCCUGGUAUAAAUGCCUCUCAGAACUUCUGCUCAAAAAUUGUCAAAAUAGAUGGGGAAGUGAAUCCCAGAACUCUGGAUCUGCUACCAAGAAUCUGCAAAUACAAAGACUGGAAUCCAAGAAGAUAAAUAACCAUUGCUUCAACCCAUGCUUCCUCACUGCUCGCCCAGCACACAUCAACCCUGAAGUUGUCCUGUGCUUAUGAAAGGGUGAGGGGGAUAAUAACAGAAGAUUGUUAUCAGAAGAUAGUAACAGAAAAUAAUAACUGGAGAUAAUAACUGAAGAUGUCAUGGAGAUUUAUCCAGGAUGUGUAGAGGGUCUUUUGCAUGUGAGAAACUGGUUGGGACAGGAGAGCUAGAGGAGACCCAGUGCUCGCUUUUAUAGAUGUUCUAGACUGAUUUUUAGAAUAUUUGGUUAAUUGAGGAAAAUAGUAGAAGUGAUUUUGGUUUUCACUAAACUACACUCUAUUGUAAAAAUCUCAUUAUUACUAGCUGUUCUUCCAUUCUAAGUUGGGGUAUGUAACUUACCUCCUACCUCAAAGAAAGAGUAUUGAGCUCUGAUCCUACAUGCCUGCUUUCUAGUUUCAAUUCAGCUGCCAACUGUGUGACCUAAGAUGACAAGGCCAACAUGUAAGGCUGUUACCACCUCUGCACAAAGAGUAUGUGACACUUUUCUUGCUUGCCUUGGGCAAUUUUCAUGAGAACAUAAAUAUACUAGGAAAAAAU
rnacentral:lncRNA from 1 species